rnacentral:rRNA from 1 species
CAAUAAGCGGAGGAAAAGAAACCAACAGGGAUUGCUCUAGUAACGGCGAGUGAAGCAGCAAUAGCUCAAAUUUGAAAUCUGGCGUCUUCGACGUCCGAGUUGUAAUUUGUAGAGGAUGCUUCUGAGUAACCACCGACCUAAGUUCCUUGGAACAGGACGUCAUAGAGGGUGAGAAUCCCGUAUGCGGUCGGAAAGGUGCUCUAUACGUAGCUCCUUCGACGAGUCGAGUUGUUUGGGAAUGCAGCUCUAAAUGGGAGGUAAAUUUCUUCUAAAGCUAAAUAUUGGCCAGAGACCGAUAGCGCACAAGUAGAGUGAUCGAAAGAUGAAAAGCACUUUGGAAAGAGAGUUAAAAAGCACGUGAAAUUGUUAAAAGGGAAGGGAUUGCAACCAGACUUGCUCGCGGUGUUCCGCCGGUCUUCUGACCGGUCUACUCGCCGCGUUGCAGGCCAGCAUCGUCUGGUGCCGCUGGAUAAGACUUGAGGAUGUAGCUCCUCGGAGUGUAUAGCCUCUUGUGAUGCAGCGAGCGCCCGGGCGAGGUCCCGCGCUUCGGCUCGAUGCUGGCGUA